rnacentral:rRNA from 1 species
UCCUGCCCAGUAACAUAGUUCAACGGCCGCGGUAUCCUAACCGUGCAAAGGUAGCAUAAUCACUUGCCUAUUAAUUGUAGGCUAGAAUGAAGGGAAAACGAAAUAUAAGCUGUCUCUAUAAAACAAAAAAAUUUCUAACUGAAGAGUGUUAGAUAAAACUGAAGGACAAGAAGACCCUAUAGAGCUUUAUCUAAACAAGAAAUUAUAUUUAAGAUUCGGUUGGGGCGACCGAGGAUACUUUUAAUCAUCCUUUAUUAUUAGAUUAAUUAAUCUCAAUCAGAUCGACCAACCUUAGGGAUAACAGGCUAAUCCUGCUAGAGAAUCCUUAUCUAAAGCAGGGAUUGGCACCUCGAUGUUGGCUUAGGGAAACUAUUUGACGCAAAAGUCAUAUAAAGAUGGUUUGUUCAACCAAUAAAUCCCUACAUGAGCUGAUUUCAGACCGGCGUCCUACUCAUAGUACGAAAGGACCUGAGUAAGGGUAACUCAUUUAACGAAUAAAUAUAAUAAUUUAUUAUAUUAUAUACUAU